rnacentral:misc_RNA from 1 species
AGCAGCCGCGGUAAUUCCAGCUCCAAUAGCGUAUAUUAAAGUUGUUGCAGUUAAAAAGCUCGUAGUUGAAUUUCGGGAUUGACACAUCGGUCGUGCCUUAAGGGGUAUGAACUGGUGUAGUCAAUUUCUCACCUUCUGGAGAACCGCGAUGCCCUUAAUUGGGUGUCGCGGGGAACCAGGACCUUUACUUUGAAAAAAUUAGAGUGUUUAAAGCAGGCAUUUUGCUUUGAAUACAUUAGCAUGGAAUAAUAAAAUAGGACGGCAUGAUUCUAUUUUGUUGGUUUCUAGGAUCACCGUAAUGAUUAAUAGGGAUAGUUGGGGGCAUUAGUAUUCAAUUGUCAGAGGUGAAAUUCUUGGAUUUAUUGAAGACUAACUACUGCGAAAGCAUUUGCCAAGGAUGUUUUCAUUAAUCUAAGAACGAAAGUUAGGGGAUCGAAGACGAUCAGAUACCGUCGUAGUCUUAACCAUAAACUAUGCCGACUAGGAAUCAGACGAUGUUAAUUUUUAAUGUACUCGUUUG